rnacentral:rRNA from 1 species
CACACGUGUUACAAUGGGGGGUACGAGAGGGCCGCUACCACGCGAGUGGAUGCCAAUCCCCAAACCUCUCUCAGUUCGGACUGGAGUCCGCAACCCGACUCCACGAAGCUGGAUUCGCUAGUAAUCGCGCAUCAGCCACGGCGCGGUGAAUACGUUCCCGGGCCUUGUACACACCGCCCGUCAAGCCAUGGGAGCCGGGGGUACCUGAAGUGCGUAACCGCGAGGAGCGCCCUAGGGUAAAACUGGUGACCGGGGCUAAGUCGUAACAAGGUAAC